GCUUGUCUCAAAGAUUAAGCCAUGCAUGUCUAAGUAUAAGCCUUUGUACGGCGAAACUGCGAAUGGCUCAUUAAAACAGUUAUAGUUUAUUCGAUAAUCAAUUGCUACAUGGAUAACUGUAGUAAUUCUAGAGCUAAUACAUGCGUCAGAUCCCGACUUUUUGGAAGGGACGUGUUUAUUAGAUACAAAACCAACAUUACCGUUGGUGAUUCAUAAUAACCAAGCGAAUCGCCGGUUUACCGGCGAUAGAUCGUUCAAGUUUCUGACCUAUCAGCUUUCGACGGUAGGGUAUUGGCCUACCGUGGCAAUGACGGGUAACGGAGAAUUAGGGUUCGAUUCCGGAGAGGGAGCCUGAGAAACGGCUACCACAUCUAAGGAAGGCAGCAGG
rnacentral:rRNA from 1 species